rnacentral:misc_RNA from 1 species
UUUCCGUAGGUGAACCUGCGGAAGGAUCAUUAUUGUAUAACCGAGGUGCGAGGGCUGUCGCUGACCCGAAAGGUCGUGAACGCUCGAGUGCCCUCACACACAUCCAUCUCACCCCUAUUUGCACCACCGCGUGGGUCCCUCUUUGGCUUGUUCGGAGGGGGGCUUACGUUUUCACACAAACUUUGUAUGCAGUGUAGAAUGUAUUUUUUGUUUUUGCGAUCACGCAAUCAAUACAACUUUCAACAACGGAUCUCUUGGCUCUC